GAUGAACGCUGGCGGCGUGCCUAAUACAUGCAAGUCGAGCGAAGAGGGGACGGGUGAGUCACACGUGGAUAACCUCCUAUAAGACUUGGCUAACUUCGGGAAAACGGAGCUAAACAGGAUACUUAUCGAUGAAUCCGCGCGGCAUUAGCUAGUUGGUAAGGUAACGGCUUACAAAGGAAACGAUGCAUAGCUGACCUGGUAGGGUGAUCGUCCAGACGGGAACUGAGACACGGUCCAGACGCCGACGGGAGGCAGCAGUGGGGAAUCUGCCGCAAUGGGCGAAAGCCUGACGGAGCAACGCCGCGUGAGUGAUGAAGGUCUGCGGAUCGUAAAACGCUGUUAUUAGGGAAGCGGUACCUAAUCAGAAAGCCACGGCUAACUACGUGCCAGCAGCCGCGGUAAUUC
rnacentral:rRNA from 1 species